UACGUAGGGUGCAAGCGUUAAUCGGAAUUACUGGGCGUAAAGCGUGCGCAGGCGGUUUUGUAAGGCUGAUGUGAAAUCCCCGGGCUCAACCUGGGAAUUGCAUUGGAGACUGCAAGGCUAGAAUCUGGCAGAGGGGGGUAGAAUUCCACGUGUAGCAGUGAAAUGCGUAGAGAUGUGGAGGAACACCGAUGGCGAAGGCAGCCCCCUGGGUCAAGAUUGACGCUCAUGCACGAAAGCGUGGGGAGCAAACAGG
rnacentral:rRNA from 1 species